rnacentral:rRNA from 1 species
GACAGAGGUGCCGAGCGUUAGGCGGAAUCACUGGGCUUAAAGCGUGUGUAGGCGGACCUGUAAGUACCUUGUGAAAUCCCACGGCUCAACCGUGGAACUGCUGGGUAUACUGCGGGUCUUGAGCCACCUAGGGGCGAGCGGAACAAGUGGUGGAGCGGUGAAAUGCGUAGAUAUCUACAGGAACUCCGGUGGCGAAAGCGGCGUGCUGGAUCUCUUCUGACGCUGAGGCGCGAAAGCUAGGGGAGCAAACGGG